rnacentral:rRNA from 1 species
UAGAGGAAGUAAAAGUCGUAACAAGGUCUCCGUUGGUGAACCAGCGGAGGGAUCAUUACUGAGUUACCGCUCUAUAACCCUUUGUGAACAUACCUACAACUGUUGCUUCGGCGGGUAGGCCGUCCCGUGAAAAGGACGCCUCCCGGCCCGGCCCGGACCCCCAGCGGGGACGGACCCGGCGCCCGCCGGAGGAUAACCAAACCCUGUUUUAACGACGUUUCUUCUGAGUGGCAUAAGCAAAAUAAUCAAAACUUUUAACAACGGAUCUCUUGGUUCUGGCAUCGAUGAAGAACGCAGCGAAAUGCGAUAAGUAAUGUGAAUUGCAGAAUUCAGUGAAUCAUCGAAUCUUUGAACGCACAUUGCGCCCGCCAGCAUUCUGGCGGGCAUGCCUGUUCGAGCGUCAUUUCAACCCUCAAGCUCUGCUUGGUGUUGGGGCUCUACGGUCGACGUAGGCCCCCAAAGGUAGUGGCGGACCCUCCCGGAGCCUCCUUUGCGUAGUAACAUUUCGUCUCGCACUGGGAUCCGGAGGGACUCUUGCCGUAAAACCCCCCAAUUUUUCAAGGUUGACCUCGGAUCAGGUAGGAAUACCCGCUGAACUUAAGCAUAUCAAUA